UCAAAUACAUAAACCUUACAUUUAGGCUUAAAUAUUUUUUGAGUGCAGUUAAUAAAUCUGUGAGUUCAAAGAUGGACUAUAUUCAUGUGUUCAUUUCUGACUCUUUUCUUAAGGAGGAUUUGUCAAAAGGCUCAUGACCCCGGUUUGACCUCUCAUCUGUGCUCUAAUCUGUCUGUUUCAUCUCAGGACAAACCGUCUGAGAGGUCAGAUCACGCUCAGGCCUUCAGGGAAGAAUAUUCCCGUCUCUACUGUCCCAGACCUGGCAUUUCUUCAGGAGAUGAAAUGUGAGUGAGAUGCUGUGUCUGAUGGAGGGCAGAGAUUCUCAGCUCAUCUCCACCUGCUCUCUGCUGGUCCUGCUGAGGACACAGACCAUUAGGACCGGUUCAGCUCAUGCCAAGAGUUCAACUUCACACAACCACCAGAGGGCAUCAGUGGCAAACAACAACACAGAGGACAUCACUACUGAAGAAGAAGAAAAACAUAACCACCUAAUUAAUGCAAGUUGUUAGUGUGAGUGUGAACCACAGCACUUACACACACACACACACACACACACACACACACACACACACAGUAUUUCAGUGACAUCUGCACAUGGCGUCAGUCACUGAAAUACUAAAAACUUUGUUUAGUUCAGAACUUUAUUAACCCCACGGGGGGCAGGAGCUCAUCCAAUCACAUAACCCGUGUUAAAACACAUUAAAAUAAGCAAUUUAACAUAUUAACAGAAUAAACAGAAGAGCUAAUAUCCCAAACAUUUGUCAACUGUGUUGUGAGCGCUUUAGCAUUUCAGAAUCGGAGCAAACGUUCCAUUAAAAUGAUUUUGUACAAACAUGUCCAGAAGUCUGAGUCUGCAGGUGCGUCACAAUUCACGUACUUCUGCACCACACUUUGACGUGUUGUAGUAUAAAUAGUGUGAGUAGUGUUUACACUGAAUUGAACCAAAUUGAAAAAGUACACUUUAGAGACCCGGAUGAUGCACUUAAUUAACAGAAAAAAAAAAAGAUCAGACUCCGAUGUUGAAUGACAAAAUAACCGUAUAAAAUUCAUAC